ensembl:lncRNA
GAGGAGCCUGGCAAGCUAUAGUCCAUGGGAUAGCAAAGAGUUGGACAUGACUGAGCAACUAACACCACAAAUAAUAAUAAUUGCAAAGUUAACAUUUCUCUUGACUGCUGCUGAGAGCUCUGAGGGACUGUUCCAAAGAGGGGGAAGUGGAGAGGAAUGAAAACAGGGGACCAGUUAGCAGGUUGCUGUGUUAAUCGAGGUUCCAUACAUAAGAGAUGUCACACAAUAUUUCUCCUUCUCUGUCUGACUUACUUCACUCAGUAUGACAAGCUCUGCUGCUGCUGCUAAGUCGCUUCAGCUGUGUCCGACUCUGCGACCCCAUAGACAGCAGCCCACCAGGCUCCCCCAGACCCUGGUCUUUGGUAGCAACUUUGGGACUGGCUCUGGGUUGAAGAAGUGCUAGUCCAAGGGCGGCAUCAGUGGUGUUCCUCUCGGGGGUUCCUGGCAUCAAUACCCAGCCUCCACCGAGAAAGCGACUCCAGGCCGAUGUUGAAACAUUCCCAGGUUGCACUGUGCUGUGGCAUCCGAGGUGGUAUCCCUUGCUUUUAGUGUCAAAAGCUGCAGAGUUCCAGCCCAGGAAAAACACCCCCACCCCAGCUGGACUGGCCCGGACCCCUGGAACCUUGGCCAAUGAGAGCCACUGUGCUGGAUGGAGGGUUCUGGAACUCAGGGUGGAGUUCUUGGAGACCUCACCCCUGCCUCCCACUUUGAGCCGGAUAUUUCCUCUAUUCCUAUUUUUUUUAAAUUAAUUUUUACUGGAGUAUAGUUGUUCUUGGGCUUCCCUGUUUGCUCAGUGGUAUAGAAUCCACCUGCCAAUUCAGGAGACAUGGGUUUGAUCCCUGGGUUGGGAAGAUCCCCUGCAGAAGGAAAUGGCAAUCCAUUCCAGUAUUUUUGCCUGGGAAGUCUCAUGGACAGAAGAGCCU